rnacentral:lncRNA from 1 species
AGAAAACAUACAUCUCUAACCCAUGAUGAACUCAACAAGAAUUCUCUCCAAAUUCUAUUUGCACAAGUUAACUACCAAGGACGGAAUCCCUCUACCUGAACCAAGCUAAGCAGACUUUCUAUACUCAGGAGCUUCGCUGCCCAACGAUUACAAGAGGCAAUUACCUCUAACACAUACCAGCGAUAGAUCAUAUCCCUACCAUACCGAUUCAGUCCUCUAACAAGUUACUUUAUUUGUCUAGAUUCCUACCUGAUUCAUUUUCAACUAGAUGUACCCUCUUGCUGUAGCACCGCAAUGCCUCAACCCAGUCUCACUAUACUAAACCCAAACACCAGACCGCACUGUCUAAGACCCUUAGGCCACUGAAUACUCCCUCAAACGUCCUCAGAAAUACCACGUCCAAGAGUCCCUUACCAGAAGAACUUCCUGUGACUCUGAAUUAGUUGCCACUACUUCCCCAAAUACUGAUACAUAGAAUUACCGUAAUCAACAUAAAAUGCCACAAGUCUUGACCCGUUCUAAUGAAAACACUGACUUGGUCAUAUACCCAACCUUAAAACACCUGAGUUAUACAUAUAGAAUCUUGAACGUAUCCACCCAUUUUCGAAAGUCAUCACUCUUACACACACGACAAUUUACUUGACUUAAUGAAUCGAACCACUUGUGCCUUAUCAGCACUCUGACACCACAGGACGAGAUAUCAUUCCGAUACAACCAAACAACUUCCUUCUCUUAACACUAAGAAUUCUUUAUUAACAACUUGAGACAUUCCCUUAUUUUCUCACAUCUACGAAGCACCAUAUAACCUUUGGCAAAAUUUCGCUUCACUCAUACCACCCUCGGCUCAGUUUCUGCAACCAAAACUGAUUCACUCACAUGCAUCGAAUCGGAAUUAACACAGUACACAACCGUACCACCAGUUAAACAACAGCAACCUCCCCAACUUAGCUCGAAGCCAUGUACAUAACAACGCAUAUGCUCUAUGGCCGACGCAAUAUCAUGGCGAGAUUAAACUCAUUCUUUUAUAAGCUUGUGGAAACACGAAUCAUCAGAAAUUCUAACCCUUAUGCAUCUGCUUCAUUCACAUAACCGCUAAGCCCACUCUUGUAGGAGGCAAGAUUUUUACUAAGUCCCAAAUUUUUCAAAAAUUUCGACAGAUUUCCUUUGUAAUUGAGCCUAUCCACCUGCUAGAGAACCACCAAAACCAUCCUAACAACGCGUCCACAACUUGACAAGACAUAACAAUGUAUAUAAAUAACAAAAAUCCCAAUUCAACACGUAUUAUAUUAUCAAAAUUGACACAUGAACGUGCGCUGCACCUGUUCGAAUCAUAGCAUAUAGAAAAUACCUUUUAGAUACACAUACGAUCUUCUAACAUACACAUAAUGAUCAUACAACUUCAGAAUAACCUGCAGGAGAUACCUGCUUGCUUCAAUAUAAUAUUUCGGUACAUCAUCCGCUGACAUACUCUUCACGCAAUCAAUUGGCUUACCUGAGUCUGGACUCAUACCACAACACACGCAUACCCAGCUAAGGGACCCGAAAAGACUCUUCAAGCGCCCAUAACUCGGGGCAACACAUCCGAUCGCAAUGGAAAUCAAACACUUAAUGGUUCAUUUUUCACCUAGCAGACCUACUUCGACACUACCAAGUCAUACAGACUCAUCACACGCACCAACGUACUCAUCAUGAAGCUAUCCAGCCGCCAUUACCACAAUUAGGGACAAUACUGAANN